rnacentral:misc_RNA from 1 species
AAAAAAAAAAAAAAGUCCAAAGUUAUGGUCAAACUAUACAAUCUCAUCAGAAAAGUACAAUCUAAACAUCCAAUCAAUCUGCAAGGCAAAAAUACAAGGUUAUAGUGUUUUUAGUUCUGUGAAAAUCAUUGGAUGGCAAAAGCCUAUAACAUCAAAUUUCAAGGCAUUGCCAGAAUGGAGGAUGGUGCACAAACAUCACUACCUCAGUGUCUGUCAACAAAAGAACUUUGAGAUGUGCAGAACAAAGAUUAGAACAUGCACAAUGCGCAAGCAAGUUAACAGCAUAUAUAUGAGGAGUACAAGAAACAAUUAGAAAAUGAAGGAAAUAUGUAUGUCCACUCUCCAAAUCAAUGUUUUGAAAAAAAACUAGACCACAUCCAUGCAAAGGUGAUUGGUAAAUAAAUCCCCAAAAAUAUAUAUAUAUAAAAAUAAAAAUAAAAAUAA